CGCGAUCUCAUUGAUUUUCCUUUCCUUUGCUUUUCAUUUUCUCCACAAGCAAACGGAUCGGUUUUUGUUAAAAAUUAAUGUUAGUUUUAGUUUGCUUUGUUGGUGUUAAUAUCUCGUCCACUAUCUGUUUUCUUGAAGGAUUUGAUUUGUUGCGGCAUAGUUCUCCAGCAUUAUGAGCUUUGUGUUAUUGAUUUGCAUUUUCUUGAACCCUGAGGAUGGCAGUUUUGACUUUAUUAUUCGUUUUCUUGCAAAUCAGGUCUCCAAAAUGCCUAGAAGUUUGGUCUUUGUUUGAAAUGAUGCUUCUAAAGCUUUCUUUGUAGUCACAUCUGCAUUUUUUUUUCUUAGUUUUGGAUAUUGAUAUGGAUUUGGUGUCCAACCGAGCUGAAUGACGGAAAAGAUCAUAUAACCGAACUCAACUACCUCAAUUAGUUUGAGAUCAAGGUUUAUUUGUUGUUGUUGUUGUAUUUAUAGUUACUAGAGCGGAGGUAGUGGGGUUGGAUAGAAGUAUUGAACCUGAUGGAAAUUAUGGAAUAUUAGAAUUUUUUUUUUCUUUUUCAUUUUCUAUUGAGCAUUAUAUUCGCUCACUUCUUUGUUCUCCAAGAAGAAUAGGCCUCAAUGCUUUUGGUAAGAAUAUAGUUUGAAAUAUGUUGAUCAAAAUUUUGUUGAAAGAUGAGAGCAAGAAUGUUUUUUGCUGUUUUAACCAGUCCCAGUGUCCGACUCACUGCAUAGAUAUUUCAUGAUUUUUUUUUUCCUUUGGAGUCAUGGUUUGGAAGUGCUUAUUUUAUAUUUUAUAGAGUUUCUUUGACUUCAGGAGGCUCUAAUAUUUCUUAUUAUUUGACGAGCAAUGAAGGCUUUGAUUAGAAAGUGAACAGGAUUUCUGUUAUAGAACAUCUAAUGCCCGCAAGAGUUGAGGAGAUCUUGCUUCCAACAUGAAUGGUGGUGUCAGUCUUUGGGUACUUCAUUAUGCUUUUAUUUAUGAAUUGGGAUAAUAUAAUGGUUUUUGGUGUUGGUCUUUGAUGGAUCUUUUGCUGUUGUAUCUGGUAAUAUUCCAUAGGCCACCUUACUGGAUUGGGGUAGUCCAGCUCUUUCUUUGCCUCUUGCUACCUGUCCUUUCUCCUCAUUUCUGCUUGAAUUCCAAGAUUGCGAUUAAGUUUUGUUCUGUAUUGAUAUCAAGGUGUAUUCCUUGAAAUUGUUUGUUGAUAAACUAGGUCCAUGCGCUUGCUUAAACGAACUUCAAAACUCUGCCAGUUAUUUGAUUGAGCCUUUGAGGAUUGAAGAUUCUGAGAUGAACAUCUCAUCAGUCAAAAUACUUAUGCUUCAUAUUGAACUUGUGAUCAUGAUAAGAAUCUCUCUGCUUAUGUUUAUAUUUAGUAGUUACUUUUAACCUGUUGCCUGCAUCUCUCUCUUUCAUUCAACUUUAUACCCUGGUUCUUUGUAACUUGGUCAAAAGCUUAUAGAGUUGGCCUUACUAGGAAAAUAGAACACGGUUAGUUGGAGCCUUGGAGGUCUUCAAAGCUUUAGAUUGUCUGACUUUCAGCACAGCUGAUACUUGAUAACUUUGGAUUUGGUUAUUUUACUGAUCUAUUUGUGGUGUUUGGCAAGUA
rnacentral:misc_RNA from 1 species